AUUGAACGCUGGCGGCAGGCCUAACACAUGCAAGUCGAGCGGAUGAAGGGAGCUUGCUCCUGGAUUCAGCGGCGGACGGGUGAGUAAUGCCUAGGAAUCUGCCUGGUAGUGGGGGAUAACGUCCGGAAACGGGCGCUAAUACCGCAUACGUCCUGAGGGAGAAAGUGGGGGAUCUUCGGACCUCACGCUAUCAGAUGAGCCUAGGUCGGAUUAGCUAGUUGGUGGGGUAAAGGCCUACCAAGGCGACGAUCCGUAACUGGUCUGAGAGGAUGAUCAGUCACACUGGAACUGAGACACGGUCCAGACUCCUACGGGAGGCAGCAGUGGGGAAUACUGGACAAUGGGCGAAAGCCUGAUCCAGCCAUGCCGCGUGUGUGAAGAAGGUCUUCGGAUUGUAAAGCACUUUAAGUUGGGAGGAAGGGCAGUAAGUUAAGACCUUGCUGUUUUGACGUUACCAACAGAAUAAGCACCGGCUAACUUCGU
rnacentral:rRNA from 1 species